rnacentral:rRNA from 1 species
CCUACGGGAGGCAGCAGUAGGGAAUAUUGGACAAUGGGGGAAACCCUGAUCCAGCCAUGCCGCGUGUGUGANGAAGGCCCUAGGGUUGUAAAGCACUUUCAGCGGGGAGGAAACGCCAUAGGUUAAUACCCUAUGGCUAUGACGUUACCCGCNNAAGAAGCACCGGCUAAUUUCGUGCCAGCAGCCGCGGUAAUACGAAAGGUGCAAGCGUUAAUCGGAAUUACUGGGCGUAAAGCGUACGUAGGCGGUUGAUUAAGCAGGAUGUGAAAGCCCCGAGCUCAACUUGGGAACUGCAUCCUGAACUGGUCAACUAGAGUACAGCAGAGGAGAGUGGAAUUUCUCGUGUAGCGGUGAAAUGCGUAGAUAUGAGAAGGAACACCAGUGGCGAAGGCGACUCUCUGGGUUGAUACUGACGCUGAGGUACGAAAGCGUGGGGAGCAAACAGGAUUAGAUACCCUGGUAGUCCACGCCGUAAACGAUGAGAACUAGCCGUGGGGAGUGUAAUGCUCUUGGUGGCGCAGCUAACGCGAUAAGUUCUCCGCCUGGGGAGUACGGCCGCAAGGUUAAAACUCAAAUGAAUUGACGG